ensembl:lncRNA
GACAGACAGAGCUGUAUCAGAGAGAGGUGGGACGCCGAAGACAGAAAAAUGUCUUUUUUUGAUUUCUGGAGCAGCACGAAGGAGAGAGGCGCGCUGCUGAGGAGAGCCAAUCAGCUGAGGCUGAAUCCUUCACAGCUAAACCUGUUGCUAGGCAACAGCGAGGUUCGACCACUUCUCCAGGAUGAGAGAAUGGCGUCUCUGCUGCCACCUGUAGGUAUGGAGGUUUUCAGAUGCUUCACAGCAGUCUCAAAGGAGGUGGUCCAACAA